ACGUAAAAUCCAAACCACAGAAAGACCCGACCCCAUGAGCUCAGCCAUGAGCUAAUACUAUUAUGGUUAGGCGGCGCCAUGCCUAAAAUCCGCGUCGACUUGGACCGACCCACGUUUCCUACCCAUGAAAAUUGCACGGUAAGGCAAACAGUACGGAUUGCCUUCUAUUGUACAGGAGGAAUUGAAAAACCUCCUCUGCAACUGCAACUGCAUGGGUCCAUUUCUCGCUCGAACUACGCUUACCUGACGCUGAAUUCAUGAUGUGUUUUUUUGGGGUUAAGCUAAUUCUGCCUCUGAAUUAAUGUUUGCCAUUCUACUACUAAAUGAUUUCGCAAUCCCCUUCCGCGAGCUUGGAUUGCUCACAGUCACAGCAGCAGCAGUUGUUUAAUCCCAUCACCAAUCCUUCAAUCCCUUUCUCCAAACGAAACAGAAGAAAUUCCCCAAGAAAUUGGAGCUUCUUAUCCUGUGCCAUUCCCUCCGACCGUCCCAACCGCGAUUUAAACUGUCUUAAUGUAGAAUUAGCCAAUUCCGCCAGACGAGGCGCCAAUAUUUUCGUAGUCAAGCGGCUUUCCCAUGAAUUGGAAGGCGAAGAUUUGUCCCAAGAAUCGCCACUCCAAAUGGGCACCAGUUUUACCAAUUACCAGGAGGACCCAAUCGUAGAUAAGCUUAGAACCCAACUGGGAGUGAUUCAUCCAAUCCCAUCGCCUCCCAUUAGUCGAAACAUAGUCGGGUUGUUUGCCUUCUUUUUCUUUGUUGGUGUUGCUUUCGAUAAGGUAUGGGCUUCGAGGAAGAAAAACAAGGUGGAUGGUGCGGAUGGUAAGCGCGGCGGCGCUGGAGCCUGGCCACAAGUUCCAACGAGCUUUUCCUUGUUUUUGGAGAAGGAUUUGCAGAGGAAAGAGUCGGUUGAGUGGGUGAACAUGGUGUUGGGGAAGUUGUGGAAAGUUUAUAGAGGUGGUAUCGAGAACUGGAUCAUUGGGUUGCUACAGCCGGUUAUUGAUAACUUGAAGAAGCCUGAUUAUGUGGACAGAGUUGAGAUUAGGCAGUUCUCCUUGGGAGAUGAACCGUUAUCGGUGAGAAACGUUGAGCGCCGGACUUCGCGUCGCGUUAAUGAUUUGCAGUACCAAAUAGGCCUUCGAUAUACUGGUGGUGCUCGUAUGCUGUUAAUGCUCUCACUAAAAUUUGGUAUUAUUCCCAUUGCUGUGCCAGUUGGCGUUCGGGAUUUUGACAUUGAUGGGGAACUUUGGGUCAAGUUACGAUUGAUACCUACGGAGCCUUGGGUGGGAGCUGCUUCAUGGGCUUUUGUUUCACUUCCAAAGAUCAAAUUUGAGCUGUCUCCAUUCCGCUUAUUCAAUUUAAUGGCAAUACCUGUUCUCUCAAUGUUUUUGACAAAACUUCUCACCGAGGAUUUGCCUCGACUAUUUGUCCGCCCAAAGAAGAUUGUUUUAGAUUUGCAAAAAGGAAAAGCAGUUGGUCCUGUUGCUAAUGUCUUUAAGUCUGGAGAAAUGCAAGAAGGAAACAAGGAUUUUACUGGAGAGCUAUCGGUGACUCUUGUAGAUGCUCGGAAUCUUUCUUACGUUUUUUACGGCAAAACAGAUCCAUAUGUUAUUCUAAGCUUGGGAGAUCAAAUUAUACGCAGUAAAAAGAAUAGUCAAACCACAGUCAUUGGCCCACCUGGUGAGCCAAUAUGGAAUCAGGAUUUUCAUAUGCUCGUUGUGAACCCUAAGAAACAGAAAUUGUGCAUCCAAGUAAAGGAUUCUCUAGGAUUCAAGGAUUUGACCAUAGGAGCAGGGGAGGUUGAUCUGGGUUCUCUUCAAGAUACUGUACCAACAGACAGGAUUGUUGUCUUGCGAGGAGGUUGGGGACUAUUUAGCAAGAGGUCUUCUGGAGAGAUACUACUUCGACUGACAUAUAAGGCUUAUGUAGAGGAUGAAGAAGAUGACAAGACUGAGAAGACUGAGGCAGAUUCUGUUGAUGUGGAUGCGUCAGAUGAUGAAUUGUCAGAUUCUGAUCAGUCAAAUGUUACUUACGAGAAGGGUGAAAGAGAUUCUUCAAAUGAAACGGAUAAAGAAUCAUUUAUGGAUGUUCUAGCCGCAUUGAUUGUGAGUGAAGAAUUUCAAGGAAUAGUGGCAUCUGAAACAGGAAAUACCAAACUUUUUGAUGAUGUCUCAACGGUAGGGUCAACAAUACCACGACCACGUGGUCUUAAAGCUGAAUCCAUCCCCUCGAAUUCCACUGGUGACUCUGAAGGUUCUAGAGGAGGAUCUGCCUUAUUUUGGCUUGCAGUGAUCACAUGUAUAUCAGUGUUAAUUGCUACCAAUAUUGGUGGUUCAAGUUUUUUCAAUCCUUGAUAUGCAACAGAGCUAGCAAAGAAGCGGGUUUAAGUACUUUAUAGAUUAUAGCUUUGGAGGGUAAGGCAAUGUUGCCUGCAACAAGGUUGGAAGAAGAUAUGGAGGUUCAUUGAUUAAGGCGCACAGUACCAUUCUACUGUGUAUUGAUGUAGUCUUGCUUGAAGUCAGUGAAGAGAAUUCUGUGCAAGUACUAUUGGAGAAACUCUAAUGUCCAUAUCUCUUGCUAUAAGGCUGUAUUUGAAACAAUAUGGUUAUACCAUUCUUAAGAAGGAAGGCAUAUCCGUUCAAGAUUUGGAUUCACUACAAUUAUUUGUGGACAUAAGAAGGAAGGCAUAACCAAUGAAAUUCGUUCAAGAUUCAGUACAAUUAUUCUUGAUAUAAUAUUGUUCUUGAUAAAUCCUCCUAAGAGCAUUUGUUCACUACAUUGCUCUAUGGAUGAUGUCAGGUCUGCUGCUCUAACCUCUCGAGAGUUGAGAAAAAUGUGUCUAGGAUUGAUACAAAUGAUCUGAAUGAUGCUCUGGUUGAUCAAGGUAGAAAAAGGAGAAAGUUUCUAUUGGCAAUGGAAAAUCUAGAUUGAGCAAUAAAAUUGAAUGCCAUUAUUCUCACAAACUAGGGCAUGUCAAAAAAGAUUGUCUAAGUCUAAAAAUAAAGAGAAACAUUAUUCUUACAAACUAGGGCAUGUCAAAAAAGAUUGUCUAAGUCUAAAAAUAAAGAGAACAAAAUAACAAAUAUUUUGCAAUUGCCAGUGUCAUAUAGGAGCAUCUGAGUGAUGCUGGAGACAUCUUGUCAACGGUCACUGAGAAUUUUCAGUCUGGGAAGGAUUAGGUUCUUGAUUUGGAAGGCUUACAUCACAGGUAUUAUAACAAACACUAGCUUGUCACAUACCGACUAGUGAGCAAUGAUCGUGUGUAAUGGGAAGUAGCAACCUUACAACUACAAGACAGUUAACAUCGGUUUUGUUCGAGUCAAGAUGCGCGUGCCAGUGCCGUUAGUACGUUGACUGAUGUUCUGUGUGUUUCAUAUUUGUUUGUACCCUUUUAACCCUGUGGGCUGGGUUUUCUGCUGAAGGUGUCUUGAAGAUUCCUAUUGUUGUAAUGGUUGUGAUGAAGAGUAAGAAGAUUGGGAACCUUUGUUUGCUACAUGACAAGAAAGCAACAGUUACAACAGCUGCUUUUAUGUUUUCUACAGAUUGCUUUGGCAUAUGAGUGGAAGAGGGAUAUACUGGAAUUAAGCAAGAGGGGCCUAUUAUGUUGUAAACAAAAUUCAGGAAGGUGAAUAUUGUGUGAAUGAGAACCAAUGUUGACUCCAGCUCAGUGUUGCUUUCACAGGAUCAAAGAGACAAUGAAUUACAUUCAUUUGGACUAAUGUGGUCCUUUUCAUGUUGCUUCAAGUGUUGUGUUCAUAAUUUGUUGACCUUUGAGUAUUUUUUAGGACGAUUUAGAUUUAUUUUUUGAAGCAUAAAAUUAUUCUUUUGGACACCUUGAAGCAAUGAAAUUCGUUGGUUGAGAGGCAAGCUGAAAACAAGAUCAAAGGCCUUGGUGUUCUAAUGGUCUGGAGUUUUGUGAAGUUGAAUUUAGCAAGUUCUGCAAGAAUGAGGGGAUUGCGAGAUACUGAACAGUUAGAGGAUGCCACUAUAGAAUGGGGUUCCGAAACACAUGAACGUGGCUCUCUUGGAGGGAGCAUUGUAUUUGCUGUCUAAUGCUGGACUAUAUAGGGAGUUUUGGUCAUGAGUAAUCAAUAUGCCUGUUGUUAGCGAAUAGGUUUCCAUCAGUGGCGAUUAAAUGUACUCUUGAUGAAGUUUUCAGGCUGUGCAUAAACAAACCCUUCACACUCGCAAUGGACUCAGCUAAUGAUUCAUUUUCCAUUGGCUUAUAUUACAUUGUAAAUUCGUAGGUACUGGCAGAGCAAUAUUCUGUUGGCGGCAUGAAGGUUUUUGGCCUCUUUUUCUUGAUCUAUAACAAGUGUAAAUGACCUUGUACCUCUCUAUUCAUUGUUCAUAUGAAAGGUUAUAACAAUAGGGAAUGGUACUCAUUUUUAGAUUUCAAGUUCUGGAAUUGGAGGGAUUUUAUGCUGACCCAAAAAGUGGGGGAAAAUUAGUAAUUAGUUCUAGCAUUAGAAGGUAGUACCAUGGGAGGUUGGCCCCAUCAUAUGAUUUCCAGAAAAGAAAUGUUCUAUAUUAUAUGAAGUCAGGCUUGAUAUCAUGUAUAAAACAUUUAUUCAGGGGUCAUUGUUGCUCCUAUAGAUCAUUGUGAUUGGAAUUUCUAAAAUCAUAUAGACGAUAUCUUGUAUAAAAGUGUGUUUUUUUUUCAAA